rnacentral:misc_RNA from 1 species
AAGUCGUAACAAGGUCUCCGUAGGUGAACCUGCGGAGGGAUCAUUACCGUGACUUGGGCUGCGCGGGAUCGAGUGCAUCGCACGAAACUCCCGUGUGGUUACCGAGGAAAAUCACACCCCAUGUUGUCUGACCACAUUGCCUCGGGGGCGACCCUGUCGCGGGGCUCCCCCGGUGACCAAAUCAAACUCUUGCGUAUCUUUGCAGUCUGAGUGAUUAUAAAUUAAUCAAAA